UACGGAGGGGGCUAGCGUUGUUCGGAAUUACUGGGCGUAAAGCGCACGUAGGCGGCGAUUUAAGUCAGAGGUGAAAGCCCGGGGCUCAACCCCGGAACUGCCUUUGAGACUGGAUUGCUUGAAUCACGGAGAGGUGGGUGGAAUUCCGAGUGUAGAGGUGGAAUGCGUAGAUAUCGGGAGGAACACCAGUGGCGAAGGCGGUUGCCUGGAGCUUUGCUGACGCUGAGGCGCGAAAGCGUGGGGAGCGAUCCGG
rnacentral:rRNA from 1 species